rnacentral:rRNA from 1 species
UACGUAGGUGGCAAGCGUUGUCCGGAUUUACUGGGCGUAAAGAGCGCGCAGGCGGUCGUUCAAGUCGCGUGUGAAAGCCCCCAGCUCAACUGGGGAGGGUCACGCGAUACUGAUCGACUCGAAGGCAGGAGAGGGUAGUGGAAUUCCCGGUGUAGUGGUGAAAUGCGUAGAUAUCGGAAGGAACAUCAGUGGCGAAGGCGACUUCCUGGACCAAUACGUGACGCUCAGGUGCGAAAGCGUGGGGAGCAAACAGGG